GAGCUUGCUCCCUUAGGUCAGCGGCGGACGGGUGAGUAACACGUGGGUAACCUGCCUGUAAGACUGGGAUAACUCCGGGAAACCGGGGCUAAUACCGGAUGCUUGAUUGAGCCGCAUGGUUCAAUUAUAAAAGGUGGCUUUCAGCUACCACUUACAGAUGGACCCGCGGCGCAUUAGCUAGUUGGUGAGGUAACGGCUCACCAAGGCGACGAUGCGUAGCCGACCUGAGAGGGUGAUCGGCCACACUGGGACUGAGACACGGCCCAGACUCCUACGGGAGGCAGCAGUAGGGAAUCUUCCGCAAUGGACGAAAGUCUGACGGAGCAACGCCGCGUGAGUGAUGAAGGUUUUCGGAUCGUAAAACUCUGUUGUUAGGGAAGAACAAGUACCGUUCGAAUAGGGCGGCACCUUGACGGUACCUAACCAGAAAGCCACGGCUAACUACGUGCCAGCAGCCGCGGUAAUACGUAGGUGGCAAGCGUUGUCCGGAAUUAUUGGGCGUAAAGCGCGCGCAGGCGGUUUCUUAAGUCUGAUGUGAAAGCCCCCGGCUCAACCGGGGAGGGUCAUUGGAAACUGGG
rnacentral:rRNA from 1 species